GGGUGCGUCGUCUAACGGACAGGAUACCGGCCUCCUAAGCCGGCAGGUAGGAGUUCAACCCUCCUCGCACCCGCCA
rnacentral:tRNA from 1 species